GUCCGGGUCCUGCGCAACAGGAACCCAUGAACCCUGUCAGGUCCGGAAGGAAGCAGCAGUAAGUGGUCAUUCUUGUGUGCCGCAGGGAAACCUGGGCUGA
rnacentral:SRP_RNA from 1 species